rnacentral:sRNA from 1 species
UUUGAAUUUGGGAAAACAGCAUCGGUGGGUGCGGUGGCUCUUGCUCGAGAUCCACAAAUUUUGAAAUGAUUUCAUCCAAUUAAUACCACCAUUAGACUCCCCUUGAGCCCCUGAACAAAUCUCGAACAUUGGUUGGGACGUCGGAGCGGUUUUGGAGUCGAAUCAAGAACACCUAAUUUAAGGGUUUCCGACAUUUCGAGGCCUAUUUGAGGUGUUUCUCAACCAAAUUGGACUUUGGCUCAGGUAUGAAAGUUUUUCCUCUCAUUGAACUCUGCAAGCUUGUAAAAUUUGGUAAUUUUUAGAGUUCGUCAGAAUUUGAAGUUUCUGUUCGCCGAAAACCGCCACGCGCGGAGGCACGUGGACAAUGAGCUAGGCAUCUAUGUUAUUGAAGUGAGGGUAAUCGGCCGUGGGACCGGUCAUCAAGUUGGAUUAUGUUGGCACCCGAGUUCUGAGAGAAUCGUGGUGACGG